rnacentral:rRNA from 1 species
UACGUAGGGUGCGAGCGUUGUCCGGAAUCAUUGGGCGUAAAGCGCGUGUAGGCGGCCCGAUAAGUCCGCUGUGAAAGUCCAGGGCUCAACCCUGGGAUGCCGGUGGAUACUGUCGGGCUCGAGUCCGGAAGAGGCGAGUGGAAUUCCUGGUGUAGCGGUGAAAUGCGCAGAUAUCAGGAGGAACACCAAUGGCGAAGGCAGCUCGCUGGGACGUGACUGACGCUGAGACGCGAAAGCGUGGGGAGCAAACAGG